AGUAGCUGCGAGCGAACAGGGAAGAGCCCAGCACCGAAUCCCGCAGGCUUCGCCUGUAGGGAAAUGUGGUGUUAGGGAGGACCCAGUUCUCCAGGUAUGUGUAGUGUGUCCAAGUCCAUUUUGAAUGAGGCCACGGCCCAGAGAGGGUGCCAGGCCCGUAGUGACCAUUGACAUAUUCCUGGAGGGUCUCUCCUCAGAGUCGGGUUGCUUGAGAAUGCAGCCCUAAGUGGGUGGUAAACUCCAUCUAAGGCUAAAUAUGACCACGAGACCGAUAGCGAACAAGUACCAUGGGGGAAAGUUGAAAAGAACUUUGAAGAGAGAGUUCAAGAGUACGUGAAACCGUUCAGGGGUAAACGGGAGACAUCCAGAAUUCGAAUGGGGCCUGGAUUCAUGUCGAACUGUCUGACAGCUAUGUCGCUCACCAGAUAACGAUGGACACCCGCGGCGAUUUAUUUCGUUGGCGGUGAUGUUCCCAACGUGCACUCGGUGUAGCGACGAUGAAAUCAUUGUAGAUGGUCGGCUGCAAUUCCCCCCUAAGUAGAAACGUUGCGACCCGUUGGGAACUGGUCAAAGGCCUCGGUUGGCAGACCAUGUGUCCUGUGGCGUUUUGGUACCCACAGGCAUGUGCGACACCGGGUGACCUGGCCGGUACUCGACGGUAUGAUCAGAGGAGUAGAUCCGCUAAAAAUGGAAACACUAUGGUUGUGAAGCGUCCGGCCUGGUUCCGAUGCGUGCAGGAUUGUGGUGCAAACCGGGGGAGUGCGUGCAGUGAACGCUCCCGGCCCUGUUACGUGUUUGGUCCUGGUGUCCUCGGACUGGAUCUGUACUCCCGUCUGCGACGCCCAUCUUCGGAUGGUCUCCCGACCCGUCUUGAAACACGGACCAAGGAGUCUAACAUGUGCGCGAGUCAUUGGGUAUGACUAAACCUAAAGGCGUAAUGAAAGUGAAAGCCACUUUGGAGUGGGUGGCCGAGGGAAGAUGGUUAUGGGUUUCCGGUAUCCUUGUGUUACUGGUUCCCUGCCCGCAUUCCCGGGGCGUCUCAACCUCACUGCGAGGUGAGGCGCACCUAGAGCGUACACGUUGGGACCCGAAAGAUGGUGAACUAUGCCUGGCCAGGACGAAGUCAGGGGAAACCCUGAUGGAGGUCCGUAGCGUUUCUGACGUGCAAAUCGAUCGUAUGAGCUGGGUAUAGGGGCGAAAGACCAAUCGAACCAUCUGGUAGCUGGUUCCCUCCGAAGUUUCCCUCAGGAUAGCUGAUGCUCGGAGUAAAAUGGAAAAAGUCUCAUACGGUAAAGCGAAUGAUUAGAGGCCUUGGGGUCGAAACGACCUCAACCUAUUCUCAAACUGUAAAUGGGUGAGAUCUCCGGCUUGCUUGAGUACUGAAGCCGGAGACGGAUGAGAGUGUCAAGUGGGCCACUUUUGGUAAGCAGAACUGGCGCUGUGGGAUGAACCAAACGCCGAGUUAAGGCGCCUAAAUCGACGCUCAUGGGAAACCAUGAAAGGUGUUGGUUGCUUAAGACAGCAGGACGGUGGCCAUGGAAGUAGGAAUCCGCUAAGGAGUGUGUAACAACUCACCUGCCGAAGCAAGUAGCCCUGAAAAUGGAUGGCGCUAAAGCGUCGUGCCUAUACUCGGCCGUCAGUGGCAUUGGGAGUAUCCGUCGGCUUUGAGCCCUCGGAACUCGAAGAAGCUCUGAUGAGUAGGAGGGUCGCGGCGGUGAGCGCAGAAGGGCAUGGCGUGGGCCUGCCUGGAGCCGCCGUCGGUGCAGAUCUUGGUGGUAGUAGCAAAUACUCUUAUGAGGACCUUGAGGACCGAUGCUGAGGCGGGUUCCGUGUGAACAGCAGUUGAACACGGGUUAGUCGAUCCUAAGCCCUAGAUGAAGGUUGAUGCCGAUGGGUGGUCGAAUGGUGUUGGCCGAUACCCUCGGCGGGCGAAAGGGAAUCAGGUUAAUAUUCCUGAACCCGGCACGGAACCGUUCCAAAUCGAGCCCUCGCGAGUUCGUCGGGGUAACCCGAAAUAACCCGGAGAAGCCGUCGGGAGGUCUGGAGAGAGUUUUCUUUUCUCUGUAUGCGAACAGGUACCCUGGAAUUCUAUAGCAGAGAGAUAGGGUAUAGGACGCGAAGAGCACCGCAGUUGCUGCGGUGUCCAGAUCUUCCCCACGGACCAUGAAAAUCCAGGAGAGGGCCACGGGAACAUCCGUGCCGGCUCGUACC
rnacentral:rRNA from 1 species